rnacentral:rRNA from 1 species
CGACGUGAGUAACCUGCCUUGGAGUGGGGAAUAACACAGUGAAAACUGUGCUAAUACCGCAUAAUGCAUUUGGGUCGCAUGAUUCUGAAUGCCAAAGAUUUAUCGCUCUGAGAUGGACUCGCGUCUGAUUAGCUGGUUGGCGGGGUAACGGCCCACCAAGGCGACGAUCAGUAGCCGGACUGAGAGGUUGACCGGCCACAUUGGGACUGAGGCACGGCCCAA